AACCGACUCUAUUCAGAAAACAUUCCCUUCCUCCUCCUGGAAGCUUCUGACGGAGUUGGUGGCCGCGUCCGCACUGACGUCGUUGACGGCUUCUUAUUGGACCGAGGCUUCCAAAUUUUCAUCACUGCCUACCNNNNNGGCUCAAAAACUCCUUGAUUACCAAGCUUUGGAUCUGCAGAAGUUUUACUCAGGUGCCCGGAUUUAUUUCGAUGGUCAGUUCCACACCGUGGCUGAUCCUAUACGCC
rnacentral:misc_RNA from 1 species